GGAUUAUUAUUUCUUUUCCAGAAGCGUUUUCGGCUUUGAAGGUAAUGGAGAAGGUCUUUUUCUGACCAUUCUGUGACCCUGCUUUACAGGGGUGAGGAUAAAUCAGCUAUGAACCAGUGUUUCGUGAGGUGCACUCUCGAGCCAGGGUGGGCUUUCCGGCUAGCCUUCACAGAGAUUAAAUGCCCUUUCUCAAGAGUUGCAGGGCCUGGCUGAGUUCCAGAGUGCAGACCAAUAUUGUUAGGUGUCGAGCUCUUCAUCCAACAGUUUUGAACACAUGCAGCUGUUGAAGGGCUCUGACCUAGGAAGGAGGAACAUGUUUGAACAGCCACUCUUGUUUGAAAAAGUUGCGAUUUGGGGCUGGAGGAAAGACUUCCUAAGAUGGCCCAGCAGGUGAUGGCCUAAAGUCUGUGUGGCAUCAGAAGCAAGAAAGCUUAAAUUGACUUGGGACUUCCAGCAACCUCUCAUCCAUAUACUGAUGGGUAAAGCAAUAGCUGCAGCACCAGUUGCUCCCAGACUGUUCACUAGGCCUUUAGCACUGCAAGAUUGGAAAGCAGUGGGCAGGAACCCUUGGCAUCUAACCAGUGAGAAGUUUGUGCAGAGGUCUGCUGGAUGUACCCAAUUGCUAAAAGCUGUUCAGAGAACCUAUCCGAUCAGCCCAGUUCUUGCUGCGGUGAAAGUGUUUGGGCGUGUUCAUCCUUAAAGCCGAGCAUCCAUUACUGGGCAGAAUGUGUGUUAAUUGGAUGCCACUUCAGUAUAAUACCAGAAAACUUUUUUAAAAACCUGAACUUAAAUAAAUAAACCCUGUCACA